rnacentral:lncRNA from 1 species
CGUGAUUUCAUGAAUCAGCUUAGAUAAUUUAAACAGUCAUUAGAUCAAAUUCAAAACAGUAGAUUAAAUCAGAAAUCUCUUAAAUGAUUUUAUUUUGUGAAUUAUCAUCAGAAAUACUCUAUUGUGUGUGUAUUUUUUUCAAGUUGUCAUCUCAAUUAUUAGAACAAUUUACUGUAUUAACAUACAGUCAAUUCUCGUUAUUCGCGAAAAUUUUAUUUAUAGCCACAAAAUCGACUUUCGCACUUAUUCGCGGACUCCCGCUGAGCGGUAAAAUACUACUACCAAUGCAAAUCCUCUUUUUUUGCUAAUAAAAGUUUUGUUACCAAACGUAGUCUGUGUCGUUCUGCCAGAAAAGUCUCAUUACCUAUCCUUGUUCAUUCCAUAGACUGCAGGUCAAAAGCCUGU